rnacentral:rRNA from 1 species
UACAGAGGUCUCAAGCGUUGUUCGGAUUCAUUGGGCGUAAAGGGUGCGUAGGUGGCGGGGUAAGUCAGGUGUGAAAUUUCGGAGCUUAACUCCGAAACUGCAUUUGAUACUGCCUUGCUUGAGGACUGGAGAGGAGACUGGAAUUCACGGUGUAGCAGUGAAAUGCGUAGAGAUCGUGAGGAAGACCAGUGGCGAAGGCGGGUCUCUGGACAGUUCCUGACACUGAGGCGCGAAAGCCAGGGGAGCAAACGGG